rnacentral:rRNA from 1 species
GAUCAUGGCUCAGGUUGAACGCUGGCGGAAUGCUUUACACAUGCAAGUCGAACGGUAGAGGGGGCAACCCCUUGAGAGUGGCGAACGGGUGAGUAAUAUAUCGGAACGUGCCCAGUCGUGGGGGAUAACGUAGCGAAAGUUACGCUAAUACCGCAUACGAUCUACGGAUGAAAGCGGGGGAUCGCAAGACCUCGCGCGAUUGGAGCGGCCGAUAUCAGAUUAGGUAGUUGGUGAGGUAAAGGCUCACCAAGCCAACGAUCUGUAGCUGGUCUGAGAGGACGACCAGCCACACUGGAACUGAGACACGGUCCAGACUCCUACGGGAGGCAGCAGUGGGGAAUUUUGGACAAUGGGCGCAAGUCUGAACCAGCCAUGCCGCGUGAAGGAUGACGGCCCUCUGGGUUGUAAACUUCUUUUAUCUGGGACGAAAAAAGGUCAUUCUUGAUCACUUGACGGUACCAGAGGAAUAAGCACCGGCUAACUACGUG